UCUUUUCUUUUUUUCAUUAGCUGUUUAUAGUGCCACAUUUUUUUAUACUGUCCAAUUUGUUGUCUUGGUGUUUUUGAUGAUAUAUCAUUAUUAUGACUAUCAAGUCACUAAAAAUUAUAAGCUUUGUGUCUGCUGCUACAUCUUAUUGUUCUGGACAGACAACAACAUGCUGAUACUGAAGUUCAAAAGAAUCUGAAAGAGAAUCUUCAACAGCUUAAAAAUUGAGACGACAUAUGUUGACUCAUCUUUAAGUUCCUCAGAAGAUGCAUCUACAAGAUCUGGUUCUGCAGUGAUAGAGAGCUCUGAACAAGACUCUGGUGAUUCAAUAACUGCUGGAGCUAAUAACGUAUACACACCUUUUAAUCAAAGUGAUUACAUAUUUCUUGAUCUGGCCAGUGAAGCUUUAAACAUGGCAGAAAAUAUGAGAAAACAAUAGGCAUUGCUUCAUGCUUACAUUGUGCUGUGUGAAUGAGUAUUUGGAGAAAAAAGUGGUUCUUGGUCAGAGUUUUAAUCUUUAUGUGUGACAGUUAUAUAUCUUGUAUAUAAUAUCUAGUUUCCUCAAUUUCUUCAAAGUUGUUGUCUGUUAGUUUGAAGUUUAAAACUGAGUUUUAUGCCCUUGUGCAGACACAUGAUGGCCUACUUAUCCUACUUAUCUAGUAAAUUCCUAAUGCUCAAUCUAUAUGUUUAACUGUUUUUUUAGUGGGCAAACCAAAUGGCCAUUAGCAAUUGUCACUAUAUGCAAGAUGCAAUAUAUAAUCAUGUAUGAUCGGAUAGGUUUGUGGACAAAUGUUUGAUAUAAAUGCUAAAUUGAAAUUUAUAUA